ACGCUCGACACCUACGGGAGCAGCAGGUGGGGAAUAUUGCACAAUGGGGGAAACCCUGAUGCAGCGACGCCGCGUGGAGGAAGAAGGUCUUCGGAUUGUAAACUCCUGUUGUUAGGGGAAAAAGAGGAUGGUACCCAACAAGGAAGUGACGGCUAACUACGUGCCAGCAGCCGUGGUAAUCUGAGGCGGGCUGGCAAGGC
rnacentral:rRNA from 1 species